GACGAACGCUGGCGGCGUGCUUAACACAUGCAAGUCGAACGGAAAGGCCCUGCUUUUGUGGGGUGCUCGAGUGGCGAACGGGUGAGUAACACGUGAGUAACCUGCCCUUGACUGUGGGAUAACUUCAGGAAACUGUGGCUAAUACCGGAUAGUAGCUCCUGCUGCAUGGUGGGGGUUGGAAAGUUUCGGCGGCUUGGGGAGGACUCGCGGCUUAUCAGCUUGUUGGUGGGGUUGUGGCGUACCAACGCUUUGACGGGUAGCCCGACUGGGAGGGUGACCCGGCCCAGUGGGCUAUGGGAUGCGGCAGUAGCUACUCCGGGGGGAAGGAGGGGAGUAUGUCCCAGAAAGGCCGAAAGCGUGAAGAAGGAUCUCGGAGUGGGGAAUGCUGUCGUUAGGGUUGAAAGCGUGUUAGGCUGGAAAGGACGCAUGGUGACGGUAAAUGGCCAAAAAGGGACGGCUAACUACGUG
rnacentral:rRNA from 1 species